AUACGGAGGAUCCAAGCGUUAUCCGGAAUCAUUGGGUUUAAAGGGUCCGUAGGCGGCCCUGUAAGUCAGUGGUGAAAUCUCCCGGCUCAACCGGGAAAUUGCCAUUGAUACUGCAGGGCUUGAAUUAUUGGGAAGUAACUAGAAUAUGUAGUGUAGCGGUGAAAUGCUUAGAUAUUACAUGGAAUACCGAUUGCGAAGGCAGGUUACUACCAAUACAUUGACGCUGAUGGACGAAAGCGUGGGUAGCGAACAGGAUUAGAUACCCUGGUAGUCCACGCCGUAAACGAUGGAUACUAGCUGUUCGGGAGCAAUUCUGAGUGGCUAAGCGAAAGUGAUAAGUAUCCCACCUGGGGAGUACGUUCGCAAGAAUGAA
rnacentral:rRNA from 1 species